rnacentral:rRNA from 1 species
GAUGAACGCUAGCGGCAGGCCUAAUACAUGCAAGUCGGACGGGAUUUGGGAGCUUGCUCCUGAUGAGAGUGGCGCACGGGUGCGUAACACGUAUGUAACCUACCCAUAUCAGGGGGAUAGCCUCUCGAAAGAGAGAUUAAGCCCGCAUAACAUUAACUUAUGGCAUCAUAGGAUAAUCAAAUAUUUAUAGGAUAUGGAUGGGCAUGCGGAACAUUAGCUAGUUGGUAAGGUAACGGCUUACCAAGGCUACGAUGUUUAGGGGAUCUGAGAGGAUGACCCCCCACACUGGUACUGAGACACGGACCAGACUCCUACGGGAGGCAGCAGUAAGGAAUAUUGGUCAAUGGACGGAAGUCUGAACCAGCCAUGCCGCGUGCAGGAAGACGGCCCUACGGGUUGUAAACUGCUUUUGCAGGGGAAUAAACCUUCGUAUGUAUACGAAGCUGAAUG